UACGUAGGGGGCAAGCGUUUGUCCGGAAUCAUUGGGCGUAAAGCGCGUGUAGGCGGCUUGGUAAGUCCGUUCUGAAAGCCCGGGGCUCAACCCCGGGAGGCGGAUGGAUACUGUCAAGCUUGAGUCCGGAAGAGGCGAGUGGAAUUCCCGGUGUAGCGGUGAAAUGCGCAGAUAUCGGGAGGAACACCAAUGGCGAAGGCAGCUCGCUGGGACGUGACUGGCGCUGAGACGCGAAAGCGUGGGGAGCAAACAGG
rnacentral:rRNA from 1 species